AGAGCAAAGUCAUGCCUUGAUGAGAGAGGUCAGAGCCUUUGGAAGAGAGAAGAAAAAUUCAAUUGAAAAAUCAGUUCUAUAUUUGGAGCAACAGCAACAACAACAAAAAGCUUUUUCAAAGGAAAGAAAGCAGGAGAAGCACAACACAAUGACCUUGCAAUUUCCACAGCCCCAGCCAGGCUAACCCUUGAAAAAUGCAGCAGUGAAGUGAGUGGAACAGCUUGUGGAAAAGCCUGACAUCCCCCAGAGCUCCAGUUACACUCCCGUGCUCAGAACAGCCUCUGCAGCAGAAGGCUGGCCCAGAUGACAGGAAAAUAACAGCAAAAAACCAAUAAACAACCACAUUUAUUUC